rfam:Laccaria bicolor S238N-H82 LACBIscaffold_1067 genomic scaffold, whole genome shotgun sequence.
GUCGUGAGACAGGUUAGUUUUACCCUACUGAUGGAGUGUUAUCGUAAUAGUAAUUGAACUUAGUACGAGAGGAACCGUUCAUUCAGAUAUUUGGUAUUUGCGCCUGUCCGAUCGGGCAAUGGCGCGAAGCUAUCAUCUGCUGGAUUAUGGCUGAACGCCUCUAAGCCAGAAUCCGUGCUAGAAACGAUGAUGUUGGUCCCGCACAUUUGACUUGUGUUAAAAUAGAGCUUUGCUCGUGUACCAAAUCAGGUGGACUGGGCUGUCAGUGUGGAAAUGCAUUGGCAGUUUGUUCACGAAUUGUAAUCAUUAUAUGGNCGGGGGUGAAUCCUUUGCAGACGACUUGAAUGGGAACGGGGUACUGUAAGCGGUAGAGUAGCCUUGUUGCUACGAUCCGCUGAGGUUAAGCCCUUGUUCUAAAGAUUUGU